GAGUUUGAUCGUGGCUCAGAUUGAACGCUGGCGGCAUGCCUUACACAUGCAAGUCGAACGGCAGCAUGUUCUAGCUUGCUAGAUUGAUGGCGAGUGGCGAACGGGUGAGUAAUACAUCGGGAACGUGCCCCUGUAGUGGGGGAUAACUAGUCGAAAGAUUAGCUAAUACCGCAUACGACCUGAGGGUGAAAGUGGGGGACCGGCAAGGCCUCAUGCUAUAGGAGCGGCCGAUGUCUGAUUAGCUAGUUGGUGGGGUAAAGGGCCCACCAAGGCGACGAUCAGUAGCUGGUCUGAGAGGACGAUCAGCCACACUGGGACUGAGACACGGCCCCAGACUCCUACGGGAGGCAGCAGUGGGGGAAUUUUGGACAAUGGGCGAAAGCCUGAUCCAGCAUGCCGCGUGUGUGAGAAGG
rnacentral:rRNA from 1 species